AACAGGAUUAGAUACCCUGGUAGUCCACGCCCUAAACGAUGUCAACUGGUUGUUGGACGGCUUGCUGUUCAGUAACGAAGCUAACGCGUGAAGUUGACCGCCUGGGGAGUACGGCCGCAAGGUUGAAGCUCAAAGGAAUUGACGGGGACCCGCACAAGCGGUGGAUGAUGUGGUUUAAUUCGAUGCAACGCGAAAAACCUUACCUACCCUUGACAUGUCUAGGAGUUUCCAGAGAUGGGAAUGUGCUCGAAAGAGAACUAGAACACAGGUGCUGCAUGGCCGUCGUCAGCUCGUGUCGUGAGAUGUUGGGUUAAGUCCCGCAACGAGCGCAACCCUUAUCAUUAGUUGCUACGCAGGGGCACUCUAAUGAGACUGCCGGUGACAAACCGGAGGAAGGUGGGGAUGACGUCAGGUCAUCAUGGCCCUUAUGGGUAGGGCUACACACGUCAUACAAUGGUCGGUACAGAGGGCUGCCAACCCGCGAGGGGGAGCUAAUCUCAGAAAACCGAUCGUAGUCCGGAUCGCAGUCUGCAACUCGACUGCGUGAAGUCGGAAUCGCUAGUAAUCGCGGAUCAGCUUGCCGCGGUGAAUACGUUCCCGGGUCUUGUACACACCGCCCGUCACACCAUGGGAGCGGGUUCUGCCAGAAGUAGUUAGCCUAACCGCAAGGGGGGCGAUUACCACGGCAGGGUUCGUGACUGGGGUGAAGUCGUAACAAGGUAACC
rnacentral:rRNA from 1 species